UCCUGUGUAGCCUGCUCUGCUCAUCGUUCUCGUCUUGUCACCCGGUUUCUAUGGAUUUUGAUUUCUGCUGGGAUUAUCUUGUUUUUUGGACUCUGUUACCAGCCACUCUGUCAGUAAGUGUGCUCGCCUUUUGUUUGUUUCGCCUCAAUAAACCCCCGUUGAACCGUACCUCCUCUUCUUUGGGUACUCCGACCUGCUUCACCACACACAUUCCUGACAAAUUCUGCUGUGUAUGCAAACCUGGCUGUGUGAAUCCCCGACGAGGUUUGGUCCCUCCGGAGAUGAGGCCGCCUACUUCCUGGUUGUUGUUCGCUGGCGUCUGUGUGGCUGUGUGGUCUGACUGAACCUACCAAUCAGAAGUCUCCAAUCAACCCUGGCUGCACCUUAAAUGAUUCUGGGACAGAUGUCAUGUGGACGAGCAGCAAACGUCAGCGAAAG